AACGAACGCUGGCGGCAGGCCUAACACAUGCAAGUCGAGCGCUGUAGCAAUACAGAGCGGCGCACGGGUGAGUAACACGUGGGAACGUGCCCUUUGGUUCGGAAUAACUCAGGGAAACUUGAGCUAAUACCGGAUGAGCCCUAACGUGGAAAGAUUUAUCGCCGAAGGAGCGGCCCGCGUCGGAUUAGCUAGUUGGUGGGGUAAAAGCCUACCAAGGCAACGAUCCGUAGCUGGUUUGAGAGAACGACCAGCCACACUGGGACUGAGACACGGCCCAGACUCCUACGGGAGGCAGCAGUGGGGAAUCUUGGACAAUGGGGGAAACCCUGAUCCAGCCAUGCCGCGUGAGUGAUGAAGGCCCUAGGGUUGUAAAACUCUUUCGGCGGGGACGAUAAUGACGGUACCCGCAGAAGAAGCUCCGGCUAACUUCGUGU
rnacentral:rRNA from 1 species